AUUGAACGCUGGCGGCAUGCCUUACACAUGCAAGUCGAACGGCAGCGCGGACUUCGGUCUGGCGGCGAGUGGCGAACGGGUGAGUAAUGUAUCGGAACGUACCAUUCAGUGGGGGAUAACGCAGCGAAAGUUGCGCUAAUACCGCAUAUUCUGUGCGCAGGAAAGCAGGGGAUCGCAAGAACUUGCGCUGAUUGAGCGGCGGAUAUCAGAUUAGCUAGUUGGUGAGGUAAAGGCUCACCAAGGCGACGAUCUGUAGCGGGUCUGAGAGGAUGAUCCGCCACACUGGAACUGAGACACGGUCCAGACUCCUACGGGAGGCAGCAGUAGGGAAUUUUGGACAAUGGGCGCAAGCCUGAUCCAGCCAUGCCGCGUGAGUGAAGAAGGCCUUCGGGUUGUAAAGCUCUUUCGGCCGGGAAGAAAUCGUAUGGGUUAAUACCCUGUGCGGAUGACGGUACCGGCAUAAGAAGCACCGGCUAACUACGUGCCAGCCGCCGCCGUAACAC
rnacentral:rRNA from 1 species